rnacentral:rRNA from 1 species
AAUAUCAAAGGUGAGCCAGUACAGGAUGGACCCGCGUCUGAUUAGCUAGUUGGUAAGGUAACGGCUUACCAAGGCGACGAUCAGUAGCCGACCUGAGAGGGUGAUCGGCCACAUUGGAACUGAGACACGGUCCAAACUCCUACGGGAGGCAGCAGUGGGGAAUAUUGCACAAUGGGCGAAAGCCUGAUGCAGCAACGCCGCGUGAGUGAUGAAGGCCUUCGGGUCGUAAAACUCUGUCCUCAAGGAAGAUAAUGACGGUACUUGAGGAGGAAGCCCCGGCUAACUACGUGCCAGCAGCCGCGGUAAUACGUAGGGGGCUAGCGUUAUCCGGAUUUACUGGGCGUAAAGGGUGCGUAGGCGGUCUUUCAAGUCAGGAGUGAAAGGCUACGGCU